CCAGUUUACUGCUAUAUACACUCAAAAAAAUUUACUAGCCACUUGCUUGAUUUGGAAAACACAAAUAUGUAUGAUUAAUAAGAAUAUAAUGAGUUCUUCUGUUAAAUGGUUAAUUCUUGUUAUUCAUAACUAAAUUCAGAAAAAAAUGGAUUAGCAGCAGUUUUGCAUCAAUUUGACCUAGGACACUUCAUAUCGACAACUCUCUCUGCUGAGACACUGCGCUCGCUCAGCUCCGUGGCAGAAAGUUCGGAAUCAUUUGGGUUCAGGCGACCGGAAGUGAAUUUUUGUGAGCGGUUUGAACUGCUGCGUCUAAUAGUUCUGUAUCCUUGAUAAUGAGGAUAUGUUCCUUGUUUGUACAAAAAGAAAACAUUACAACAUAAAGCUGUCCUCAUUCUCUUCUGGUGUGAACCUCACCUUUAUUUACAUGUGAGGUGUAAAGUAUGUGGCUGUGCAGGCAGUGUGUUGCAAAGGAGAGCUGCAGGUAAAAAAAACUUGACCAUUAUAAACUACACCAUUGUUUUGGAAGUGGCAAUCAUUAUGUUUGUGAAUAUUUAAAUUGUCUUAAGGGCAGGACUUAAUCCCCCACGUAUGGAAUUCACCCGUUAUAUUCUACAGAGACAGCAACAUGUUCAUGUACUUUUCAGUGUGAGUUAUGUGUGCAUUCUGAUCUUUCCACUGAAGGAUUUCUUCACUUUUUAAUGCAUUUGAAAAAUAAUGAAAUCAUAAGUUGCACAUUUUUAAUAACGCAUUGCUCUUUCAAGACAAACAUUUUAAGUACAUUUUAUUCACACAAUAACUAACGCAUAAAUUACCACCACAAAAAGAUUUUAAAGCAGGUUAAACUUUGUUUGCAGACCCAGUACAUAGCUCUGAAGAUGCAAGUGCUGGUUGGUCUACUAAUGUUCUACUGAAGUUAGUACUUAGUGUUUAAAAGUGAUGAUCUUGCUGUUGUCAAUUUGCCCAAAUUAAUUGAGCAGAAAAUAGCUGUAAUAUUGUUGAAAUCGGUACAUAUAUAUCAUAUUCCUGCCAGAGUGUUAGACGAAUUGCUGCAUUUUUUUAAUUAAGCUCUGCUUGUGCGCCACUCACAAAGCGUCCUCUUACAGACAAAAGCCAUAUCCUUCAGAUCACUCAAGCUGUUACCAAAGAAUUUGCCACCUGUGUUGCUAACCCUGUGGCUCAAAUUAUGGCGAAGUAUGGACCGCUUGUUUCCUCUUUCUCCUGUAUUGGAUUGAAAUUUACUUUACAUGUGUACCAAAUAAAGU